UGCAUGUGGCCAUGAGAGGACCCUGUCCUUUCAUUAGUCCGAGGCUUGAACCUGGCCCAAACACUGCAGCCGCGCCCCACACUGUCCAACUUCAGUUUCACGUUCCUGCCCUCGCAGCGGCUGCCUCUUGAGAGCGUGGGAGCGUCAGGGAGGCGCCUGGGAGCAGGGGGCGCGCCGAUGGCCUGUAUCUCCCUCCAGUGACUCCCAGCCACUACCUGGGCGCCAGCGGCGAUGAUGUCACCACAGGCAUCUUCAGGCUCAGCUGCUCUGCGGGUGGGUCGGCCGUGUGGGCGGCCGGGGAAUCCCACCGGUGACAACACAGCGUCCUUGGGAGCUGACACGGCAGCCGAUGCCCCAGACCGACCCCAGGCCCCGACAGUCUCGCUGCAAAGCGUGGGAAGCCCGGGCCCCAGACGUCACGCCCGCCCGCACCUCACCUUCACACAGAGCUGCUGCGGUGGCUUCGCUCCUGACUCAUCGCUCAUCCGGUUUCAACCCCGGUUUUGAUUCGCCUCGGGGGCCCGAGAGGCCUGGCAGUAUUAGGCCGGGCCUUAGGCGGUUCUGGAACAUUCCCCGGAGGCCUCGGCCGAGAGUGGAGAUUCGAUAACUCAAGGUCGACGCUCAACCACUGAGCCACGUUGGCCGGGCCAGCGCUGUAUUUAUAAGCUGGCAGAUAAGAAAAGACAGCGCCAUCUGCUUCCAAACUCAUGCCUUCUCUCCGCGUGCUUUGAGAUUUCAUAAAUGCCGGUGACCAGGCGUGUUUUCCAAUGACCCGGUGACUUCCAGCCGCUCCAGCCAAUGGGGACGGAGCCCUGAUGAUACAAGGCCUCACGGGGCAUGACUCAUCCCUGGAGACAUGACCUGCGUGGCCGUUGUGAAGGGCCUGCUUCUGUCAAUAUCGAUGGCCAGAAACCAUCCCAGGAGCUCCCCAGCGAUGCGCGUGCAGUGGCUCAGUGCCUGUGUGUGACUCACAGUUGGUGUGUGACCGGCCCGACUGGGCAGGGAACGUUCGGUCUGCAACGGAGAGGACACCCAAGGCCACGCCGGGCUCCCGGUUCCGGCUUCUUAAAAGCGUGGCUUUGCCAAGAAGGAAACGCUCAAAAGCGGUCUCCAUCCCUGAGGGACUAAGGCAGGCACGGAGGGUACGGGGCGAACAGGGCCUCUCCCCAUUGGGAGCCCAUGUCUUCACACCUGCUUGUCCCGGGGGCACCGCGACGCUCACUCAGUUUCCCGUGGGCCCUGUGCUCCUCGAGGGGCAGCCUCUCCCCUCAAGUCAACGCGGCUGGGCCCUGGCCCGUGUGGCUCAGUGGACAGAGCGUCGGCCUGUGGACUGAAGGGUCC